rnacentral:rRNA from 1 species
UGCAGAAGGAUCAUUG